rnacentral:tRNA from 1 species
GGGCGAUUAGCUCAGCUGGCUAGAGCGCCACGUUGACAUCGUGGAGGUCACAGGUUCAAGUCCUGUAUCGCCCACCA